GGUGUUUGCAACAGUAAUUUACUGCGAUCAGUGAUGUCACCACCAAUGUGGUAAGGUAAACCACAGUUGGCAAAUGAGACAAAUUCGCCGCGCUCAAACAUGAUGAUAUGCGCGUCUUCACUGAGACGGCGUGCACGAGCUGCUGCUGAGGCGCCACCUGCGACACCAC
rnacentral:antisense_RNA from 1 species